CGGGUGUGGCGGAAUUGGUAGACGCACCAGAUUUAGGUUCUGGCGCCGCGAGGCGUGGGGGUUCAAGUCCCUUCACCCGC
rnacentral:tRNA from 1 species